GUCUCAAACUCCUGACCUAAAGCUAUUCUCCUGACUUGCCCUCCCAGAGUGCUAGGAUUACAGGUGUGAACCGCUGCACCCAGCCCUACUUACAGUUCUCUUAUACAAAAAAUAAUUUUAUUUGGGGGGAGGGGGGAAAAUGGGCAUUUAUUGAAACCUUAAAAUCUGUACCCCCAUAAUAUGCCAAAAUAAAAAAUAAUAAUAAUAAUAAUUUUAGUGUGGCUGGGGUGGGAACAGGGGGAUAGUAAGUGGAUGUGAGGGUUCUUUUGGGGUGAUAGAAAUGUUUUAAAAUUGAAUUUGAGAGAUGAUUGUACAACUCUAUAAAUUUACUAAAAGUCAUUGCACUGUACACCUAGUAAAUUUUAUGGUAUGUAAAUGCAUAAAAGCUGUUAAAUAAUUCUAAUGUGGCCUGUGCGCCAGCCCAAACUGUGUGGAGGUGGUGGUGCAUGGUUCUGGGGCCCUGGCAUGGGAGUGCCUGCGGCAGCCAUGGAGCCUUCAGUGCUGGGCCAGAGCGGCCCUGGCUCGUUGGCGCCCUGGUGCUCGGUGAGCAGCGGACCGUCGCGCUACGUGCUUGGAAUGCAGGAUCUGUUCCAGGGCUACAGCAAGACACUCGAGUUUCUGGCGCACAGUGCCAAGGUGCACUCUGUGGCCUGGAGCUGCAACAGGCGUCGCUUAGCCUCGGGGUCCUUCGAUAACACGGUCAGCGUCUUCGUGCUGGAGAAAGACUGGAUGGUCAAAGAAAACAAUUAUCAGGGACAUGGGGAUAGCGUGGACCAGCUUUGUUGGCAUCCAAGUAAUCCUGACCUCUUUGUCACUGCAUCUGGAGAUAAAACCAUUCGCAUUUGGGAUGUGAGGACUACAAAAUGCAUUGCCACUGUGAACACUAAAGGGGAGAACAUUAAUAUCUGCUGGAGUCCUGAUGGGCAGACCAUCGCUGUAGGCAACAAGGAUGAUGUGGUGACGUUUAUUGAGGCCAAGACACACCGUUCCAAAGCAGAAGAGCAGUUCAAAUUUGAGGUCAACGAAAUCUCCUGGAAUAAUGAUAACAUGUUCUUCCUGACAAAUGGCAAUGGUUGUAUCAACAUCUUCAGCUACUCAGAGCUGAAGCCUGUGCAGUCCAUCAAUGCCCAUCCUUGCAACUGCAUCUGUAUCAAGUUGAUCCCAUGGGGAAGUACUUUGCUAUAGGAAGUGCAGAUGCUUUGGUCAGCCUUUGGGACGUGGAUGAGUUAGUGUGUGUUUGGUGCUUUUCCAGGCUGGAUUGGCCUGUGAGGAUGCUCAGUUUUAGCCAUGAUUGGAAAAUGCUGGCCUCGGCAUAAGAAGAUCAUUUUAUUGGCAUAGCUGAAGUAGAAACAGGAGACAAGUUAUGGGAGGUGCAGUGUGAGUCUCUGACCUUCACUGUGGCGUGGCACCCCAAAAGGCCUUUGCUGGCAUUUGCUUGUGAUGACAUAGAUGGCAAAUAUGACAGCAGUCAGGAAGCUGGAACUGUGAAGCUGUUUGGACUUCCUAACGAUUCCUGAGAGGAGGUCGUAGGGAGAGGAGGCCCUGGCAGAGGCCUUUGUUUGUGCAGUUAGUUUGGUCUGUUCCCUUGGAGUUGGUGGGCAUUCUAAACAUGCACAAAUUGGUAUAAAUUAUAAAAGUCUUUUAUCAGGCUGCCCAUUCCAAUUCCCUUCCUUAUUGUGUGUUUUAGCUGUUUCCAUUUCCCUUUCUAGCAUCAGUUUGCUAAUGAUGACUCUGCAGUGUGGGUGAAGACCUCAGCGUGCUUGUCCUCAGGACCCUGUCUUCUCUGCUGUUGGAUGUAUUGGGGAUUUUGUUGAGCUUGAUACUACUUGGACAAUACCUAGUUUGGAGAAAGGGCUUAAACCAGGGUGGCAUGGGUAUGGAGGGU